UUAAUUACAGAUGUCUAGAAGUUUAUAUUUUUGUCUUUUUUUGUUACAGCUCAUCAUCAAUUUUGGCUUGCAAGAGGCUAAGUUAAUAUCUACAUAAGAUACAAGGCAAGAAGAUCAUAAGGAGAAGGUUAAGAAGAUGGUCAAGAAAAGGAGAAGAA